rnacentral:rRNA from 1 species
AUGGAUAUGGAACAUGAAAUACCAAAAAAAUUAGGUAUACUUGCUGCUCAUGGAGAUGGGGAACCUCUUAAAACCCUCGAUGCUUAUUAUGUGAUAGAUAUUAUGUACUACUUUGAUAAUCCUGAGAAAACCCCAUUCAACUUUGUAAUGGGAGUAACGUUGGAUCAACGUGAAUACUUUAGGGAUUAUCGCUUGACACAAAAAGGGAAACUAUUAUGGGAUCAAAUUUAUAUGUUGAAGUGGUAUGCUAGGCAACUAUGCUUGAGAUAUGAUUAUACUUGUUGCUCUAGGAUGAAGGCUCCACACCUUCCCUUUUCAUGCAAAUUUAAUGAUAAUAAAACCUUAGCUUCUUAUGCUAAUGGUAUAUAUGAUUACUAUGAUGUGGAACAAAUAGAAGAAUUUGUUGCUUUUAUGGGUGCUUAUGAAAUUGAAUCUAUGUUUAAAGAGUUUGAAGAUUUUGAUGAUGCUGUUUAUAGACCUGAAAAUUUAGCUAUCCUCAAAUAUUUCUAUGAGAAUUAUGAAUACAAUUCCGAUAUUAAUGCACUUAUUGAGAAAGUCUCCGCUGUCCAAGAAGAGACUAAUAUUUUGCAGGAAUCUAUGGAAGAAGUUGAUGAAACUGUGAGCUCAUUGGAUGAAAAAGAUGAGGAGGAGAGCGAAGAACAAAAGAAGGAAGAGCGGAUUGAUCACCCGUGCCCACCUUCUAAUGAGAGUAACUCUUCAACUCAUACAUUGUUUAAUUCCCCUUCGUGCUUACCGAAGGAUGAUUGCUAUGAUGACUGUUAUGAUCCCUUUGAUUCUUUUGAAAUAUCCCUUUUUUGA